AAAGAUUCCAAAGUGGAAAGAUUCCUUUCUAAAAGAAUUUAAAAUCAACUGGAUCAAAAAAGCGAAGCUUGCAAUUCGAUGAGAAUAUCGGGGUGGUACUUGGAAUGAUUAUUUUUAUAAAAACAGCAAUUGAUUGAUCAUGGUUUUCCAGGCCUUCCUUUGCCUCAUUUUAUUACAAUGAUGAUCUCAAGAAUUCCUAACCAACUAUGUCACUUACUUAAUCCCAGUAAUAUGAAGAAUAGGGAGGAUUUGAAGAUGGCUAUUUCCAGACUUCUUUAUUUAUCUGAGAAUAGUGGGAUGAUUGCUGAGAGGAAGAAGAUUAACCAAAAAGAGUCUUUUAUUGCUAGUGAGUUUGAUACAAUAAAAGAUAAGUCAACAU
rnacentral:lncRNA from 1 species